rnacentral:rRNA from 1 species
CCUACGGGGGGCAGCAGUGGGGGAUAUUGCACAAUGGGGGGAACCCUGAUGCAGCGACGCCGCGUGGGGGAAGAAGCGCCUCGGCGCGUAAAGCCCUGUCAGCAGGGAAGAAAAUGAUGGUAUCUGAAGAAUAAGCCCCGGCUAACUACGUGCCAGCAGCCGCGGUAAUACGUAGGGGGCAAGCGUUACCCGGAUUUACUGGGUGUAAAGGGGGCGCAGACGGCGAUGCAAGCCAGGAGUGAAAGCCCGGGGCUCAACCCUGGGACUGCACUUGGAACUGCGUGGCUGGAGUGCAGGAGGGGCAGGCGGAAUUCCUGGUGUAGCGGUGAAAUGCGUAGAUAUCAGGAGGAACACCGGUGGCGAAGGCGGCCUGCUGGACUGCAACUGACGUUGAGGCCCGAAAGCGUGGGGAGCAAACAGGAUUAGAUACCCGGGUAGUC